rnacentral:ncRNA from 2 species
UCGGAUAUUCUUUUUUACAUGGAUAACUGUGGUAAUUCUAGAGCUAAUACAUGAACAAGUGUUCCAACCUCAGCUUGCUGACGGAAGGAUCGCAUUUAUUAGUACAAGACCAAUGAUUCUUAUUCACCUAGAACCCUGUUCAGUGAUUUCGGUCGCUGUCUAAGGACUAGCAGUGGGGAUCUUAGCAACUUCGGUUGCAUUUCUUGUGAUGACUCUGAAUAACUGAGCAAAUCGUAUGGCCUCUGAGCCGACGAUGUAUCCCUCAAGCAACUGCCUUAUCAACUGUCGAUGGUAGGUUAUGCGCCUACCAUGGUUGUAACGGGUAACGGGGAAUUAGGGUUCGAUUCCG